rnacentral:rRNA from 1 species
GACGAACGCUGGCGGCGUGCUUAACACAUGCAAGUCGAGCGGUAAGGCCCUUUCGGGGGUACACGAGCGGCGAACGGGUGAGUAACACGUGGGCGACCUACCCUCAGCUUCGGGAUAAGCCUGGGAAACUGGGUCUAAUACCGGAUAUGACCUUCCCUCGCAUGGGGGUUGGUGGAAAGUUUUUUCGGCUGGGGAUGGGCCCGCGGCCUAUCAGCUUGUUGGUGGGGUGAUGGCCUACCAAGGCGACGACGGGUAGCCGGCCUGAGAGGGCGACCGGCCACACUGGGACUGAGAUACGGCCCAGACUCCUACGGGAGGCAGCAGUGGGAAUAUUGCGCAAUGGGCGGAAGCCUGACGCAGCGACGCCGCGUGGGGGAUGACGGCC